GACGAACGCUGGCGGCGUGCCUAAUACAUGCAAGUCGAGCGCAGGAAGCUCACGGAACUCUUCGGAGGGAAGUGAAGGGAAUGAGCGGCGGACGGGUGAGUAACACGUAAGGAACCUGCCCCAAGGAUUGGGAUAACUCCGAGAAAUCGGAGCUAAUACCGAAUAGUUCUUCAGACCGCAUGGUCUGAUGAUGAAAGGCGCUUCGGCGUCACCUUGGGAUGGCCUUGCGGUGCAUUAGCUAGUUGGUGGGGUAAUGGCCCACCAAGGCGACGAUGCAUAGCCGACCUGAGAGGUUGAUCGGCCACACUGGGACUGAGACACGGCCCAGACUCCUACGGGAGGCAGCAGUAGGGAAUCUUCCACAAUGGACGAAAGUCUGAUGGAGCAACGCCGCGUGAGUGAUGAAGGUUUUCGGAUCGUAAAACUCUGUUGUAAGGGAAGAACAGGUAUGAGAGGUAAUGCUCAUGCUAUGACGGUACCUUGCGAGAAAGCCACGGCUAACUACGUGCCAGCAGCCGCCGUAAGAC
rnacentral:rRNA from 1 species